GAUGAACGCUGGCGGCGUGCUUAACACAUGCAAGUCGAACGAAGCACCUUGAUUUGAUUCUUCGGAUGAAGAUCUUGGUGACUGAGUGGCGGACGGGUGAGUAACGCGUGGGUAACCUGCCUCAUACAGGGGGAUAACAGUUAGAAACGACUGCUAAUACCGCAUAAGACCACAGCACCGCAUGGUGCAGGGGUAAAAACUCCGGUGGUAUGAGAUGGACCCGCGUCUGAUUAGGUAGUUGGUGGGGUAACGGCCUACCAAGCCGACGAUCAGUAGCCGACCUGAGAGGGUGACCGGCCACAUUGGGACUGAGACACGGCCCAAACUCCUACGGGAGGCAGCAGUGGGGAAUAUUGCACAAUGGGGGAAACCCUGAUGCAGCGACGCCGCGUGAGCGAUGAAGUAUUUCGGUAUGUAAAGCUCUAUCAGCAGGGAAGAAAAUGACGGUACCUGACUAAGAAGCACCGGCUAAAUACGUGCCAGCAGCCGCGGUAAUACGUAUGGUGCAAGCGUUAUCCGGAUUUACUGGGUGUAAAGGGAGCGUAGACGGAGUGGCAAGUCUGAUGUGAAAACCCGGGGCUCAACCCCGGGACUGCAUUGGAAACUGUCAAUCUAGAGUACCGGAGAGGUAAGCGGAAUUCCUAGUGUAGCGGUGAAAUGCGUAGAUAUUAGGAGGAACACCAGUGGCGAAGGCGGCUUACUGGACGGUAACUGACGUUGAGGC
rnacentral:rRNA from 1 species